GUGCUCGCUUCGGCCACACAUAUACUAAAACUGGAAAGACACAGAGAAGAUUAGCAUGGCCUCUGCUCAAGUAUGACACACAAAUUCGUGAAGUUUUCCAUAUUUUU
ensembl:snRNA U6 U6 spliceosomal RNA